rnacentral:misc_RNA from 1 species
GAUGAAGAACGUAGCGAAAUGCGAUAAGUAAUGUGAAUUGCAGAAUUCAGUGAAUCAUCGAAUCUUUGAACGCACAUUGCGCCCCCUGGUAUUCCGGGGGGCAUGCCUGUCCGAGCGUCAUUACAACCCUCAAGCUCAGCUUGGUAUUGGGCCCCGCCGCUCCGGCGGGCCCUAAAGUCAGUGGCGGUGCCGUCCGGCUCCGAGCGUAGUAAUUCUUCUCGCUCUGGAGGUCCGGUCGUGUGCUCGCCAGCAACCCCCAAUUUUUUUCAGGUUGACCUCGGAUCAGGUAGGGAUACCCGCUGAACUUAAGCAUAUCAAUAAGCGGAGGU